CGGUAAUACGUAGGGUGCAGGUGUUAAUCGGAAUUACUGGGCGUAAAGCGUGCGCAGGCGGUUUGCUAAGACAGGUGUGAAAUCCCCGGGCUUAACCUGGGAAUUGCGCUUGUAACUGGCAAGCUAGAGUGUGGCAGAGGGGGGUGGAAUUCCACGUGUAGCAGUGAAAUGCGUAGAUAUGUGGAGGAACACCGAUGGCGAAGGCAGCCCCCUGGGUUAACACUGACGCUCAGGCACGAAAGCGUGGGGAGCAAACAGGAUUAGAUACCCUGGUAGUCCACGCCCUAAACUAUGUCAACUAGUUGUCGGGGAAGAAAUUCCUUGGUAACGAAGCUAACGCGUGAAGUUGACCGCCUGGGGAGUACGGCCGCAAGGUUAAA
rnacentral:rRNA from 1 species